rnacentral:rRNA from 1 species
GACGAACGCUGGCGGCGUGCUUAACACAUGCAAGUCGAACGGAAAGGCCCUGAAGUUGUGGUGUGCUCAAGUGGCGAACGGGUGAGUGACAAGAGAGUAACCUGCCCUUGACUCUAAGGUAACGUCAGGAAACUAGGGCUAAUACCGGAUACGAGCUACUGCUGCAUGGUGGGGGUUGGAAAGGUUCGGCGGUUGGGGCUGGACUCGCGGCUUAGCAGCUUGUUGGUGGGGUAGUGGCUUACCCAGGCUUUGACGGGUAGCCGGCCUGAGAGGGUGACCGGCCACAUUGGGACUGAGAUGCGGCCCAGACUCCUACGGGAGGCAGCAGUGGGGAAUAUUGCACAAUGGGCGGAAGCCUGAUGCAGCAACGCCGCGUGCGGGAUGACGGCCUUCGGGUUGUAAACCGCUUUCGCCUGUGACGAAGCGUGAGUGACGGUAAUGGGUAAAGAAGCACCGGCUAACUACGUG